rnacentral:rRNA from 1 species
AUUGAACGCUGGCGGCAGGCCUAACACAUGCAAGUCGAACGAGUGGCGGACGGGUGAGUAAUGUCUGGGAACCUGCCCGAUGGAGGGGGAUAACUACUGGAAACGGUAGCUAAUCCCGCAUACCAUCAGAUGUGCCCAGAUGGGAUUGGCUUGUUGGUGGGGUAACGGCUCACCAAGGCGACGAUCCCUAGCUGGUCUGAGAGGAUGCCCAGCCACACUGGAAAGGGAACACGGUCCGGGCUCCUACGGGAGGGAGAAGUGGGGAAACUUGCACAAUGGGCGCAAGCCUGAUGCAGCCAUGCCGGGUGUAUGAAGAAGGCCUUCGGGUUGUAAAGUACUUUCAGCGGGGAGGCGUUACCCGCAGAAGAAGCACCGGCUAACUCCGUGCCAGCAGCCGCGGUAAUUC